rnacentral:lncRNA from 1 species
GCAGCCGCAGGGCAGGAGCCCCCACAGCCCCCGCUGCUCCCCCGCACGCCCGGCCGCCCUGGCUCGAGCCACUGCCACCUCCCAGCACAUUCCACGGCACUGGAAAUCCUUUCCUAUCCUUCUGGAGAAUCCUUCCCCACCUCCAAUCCAAUCCGAGUUCUUCAGGGGAUCGGGAAGAGCGAUGAACUUUUCCACCUGAUCUCCCCCCGCGGAUUCCCAGACACUCCUCAGGCACGCUCACGGCUCCCUCAGCCACCGGCAUUUCUGUCCUUUCCCCUACACGGGGCGGGGGGGAAACCCUGAGCCCUUCCAGCAUCCACGGCUUUGUCUGCAAGGGUUAAACCAGGGAAUGGAGCAGCGUCCUUUCUGUCGGAGACACGCCACCUGAACGCGAAAUCAAACCUACUCACCGGGUGAAAUCGCAGGAGGCGAAGCGGCUGCGAGCAAAACGCGUCCCGGCUCCGAGCACAUAGUCCAUGGCUCUCUGUAUGGAAAUCACGAGCUGGCUCGGUGGAAAAAUCUCCCUUUUCUUCGCAUGGUGCCUCUGGAAUGUGUGCGGAAUCUCAAGGUGUGUGGGGGAGAGGGAGGCAGUGCCAGCAUUUAUGGAGCUUGGUGUGUGUCCCCCCCUGCCCCUAGUCCCUCUCCUCCCUCCGUGCUGUGAGCAGACACGCGUUCAUGGCUAAUAAAAACGCUUUUCCCUGUGUAUUAUUGGGCUGAGAGCUAAACCGAAAGCCAGUCCGUGUCCUGGAACAGCCUGCAGAUCCGCCAGGAGCUUUGGCAUCCCUGCGGUGUAGCCUGGCUGUGUUCACCUCAUGCUUCCCGGGAUCAAUAAGCACACUAACCAUACCGAUUGUGUGAUGUAUACGUUGGGCAGUACGGAGCGAUCGCAGCAUUACACCAACACCUGUCUGCUGUGCUACAUGCGGUCUAUCAAAAAGAGAUGGUAAUUUCUGUGGAGCUUUUUGAUCAAGAAAGUUUUUGUCUUCUCUCCAUUACCUCUGUAAGCACCAGUUCACGGCCGUUUGCCAGUCUGGCAGUUUUAUGUUUCCAGAAUCUGUCGUGAAAUAUUGGGAAACCACAGAAACCCAAGAUUCCUCUGACAUCACGUCGGUUUGUUCCUGUCAGCAUGUUUAAUCAUUUUUGUGCUAAAUGAGCUGAUCUUAGUAAUGAUUUGCCCUGCUUGGGGUUUUAUUGACUUUUUCAUUAGCAAGGAGGUAAGAAAAGGAUUGAAGGAAGGAUGUUACAGUUAGUGAAAAAAAUGCACUGUCCAUUUCAAUUGUAGUAGCUGUUAAAUAUGUAGGUACAUGUAUGCUGCCUUAUGCAGUUAUAAAAAUGAAAGACAUGCCACCUUGCCUCCUUGCCUCAGAAUAUGAUUUCUCUCACAGCAACAAGUAGCACAGGCUCUUCUCUCCCCUUUUCUCCUCCCCUUCAGCCCCUCCUGACAAAAUGCCAGUUAUAAAGGUCAGCCUGUUUAUGUAAAGACUGUGUGUUUCUUACCAAAGACCGCUGCACGUCAAGCCUGCAAUGACUAUCAAAUAGACUUGGGAUUCAAGACACUCAACAAGAGCACUGUCCAUUUCCUAGGACUGAUAAAAUCCCAGGCAAAACAGAAGACAAAGAGCCGUAGUGUGUGACUGGGGUAGGUCACCAGCACCAGGGUGCACACGGGGAGAAGUGUCUUCA